rnacentral:rRNA from 1 species
UGAAAAGAACCUUGGAGAGAGAGUCAAACAGUACGUGAAACCGUCAGGGGGGAAACGAACGAGGUUGGUGCAGUGAUCGCGCAGGUUCAAGCACUGCCGAGGGUGCCGACGCGUGGACCGAGAUGGUCCCGUGCCGUUCGCCCGAGGCAGUGCCGUACUCCUCGUGAGCACGGACCAUCGGCGGUUGAACCGGAGCCACAAGGCGGCAGCGGAAGGUGAGUUGGCGUGGGUUUGUCCCGCACUGACAGCUUAUAGCCCUGCCGUGCGGUGCUCCGGCCCGACCGAGGAAGAAGGGCAGCCCUUGCCCGUAGUGGUGCACGCCGAAUGGCGGGGCCUCCCGAUCCGAGUGAGCCGUGCGGUGUGGACUGCGUGCAGUGCUAAUCGUGGCGGCGAUCUCGUGUCGGAGAGCGUCACUUGUGCGCCAGUGCUGCUGGUAUUCAGACGGCCUCGUCCGACCCGUCUG